rnacentral:SRP_RNA from 1 species
AAGGACCUGGGCUCGACGACAGGGACGUAUUUCUACCUGCGACCACACGGCCAUUUCCAGAUGUUUCCAGGGCUCAUGAUAAAGCUUGGAGAGACCGAGAUGCAGGUGAUGUCG